CUAGAGUAUGGCAGGGGUAGAGGGAAUUUCUAGUGUAGCGGUGAAAUGCGUAGAUAUUAGAAAGAACACCGGUGGCGAAAGCGCUCUACUGGACCAUUACUGACACUCAGAGGCGAAAGCUAGGGUAGCAAAAGGGAUUAGAUACCCCUGUAGUCCUAGCCGUAAACGAUGGAUACUAGAUGUUGUGCAUUAUGUACAGUAUCGUAGCUAACGCGUUAAGUAUCCCGCCUGGGGAGUACGCUCGCAAGGGUGAAACUCAAAGGAAUUGACGGGGGCCCGCACAAGCGGUGGAGCAUGUGGUUUAAUUCGAUGCAACGCGAAGAACCUUACCAGGGCUUGACAUACUACGAAUUUUCUUGAAAGAGAAAAGUGCCUUCGGGAAUGUAGAUACAGGUGGUGCAUGGCUGUCGUCAGCUCGUGUCGUGAGAUGUUGGGUUAAGUCCCGCAACGAGCGCAACCCUUAUUUUUAGUUACCAAUUCGUUGGGUUCUCUAGGAAGACUGCCGGUGACAAACCGGAGGAAGGUGAGGAUGACGUCAAGUCAGCAUGCCCCUUAUGUCCUGGGCUACACACGUGCUACAAUGGUUAAGACAAAGAGUUGCGAACUUGUAAAAGUCAGCUAAUCUCGUAAACUUAGCCUAAGUUCAGAUUGUAGGCUGCAACUCGCCUGCAUGAAGUUGGAAUCGCUAGUAAUCGCUGGUCAGCUAUACAGCGGUGAAUCCGUUCCCGGGCCUUGUACACACCGCCCGUCACACCAUGGGAGCUGGUCAUACCCGAAACCGUUAGUUUAACCGCGAGGAGAACGACGUCUAAGGUAGGGCUAGUGACUGGGGUGAAGUCGUAACAAGGUA
rnacentral:rRNA from 1 species